rnacentral:rRNA from 1 species
AGAAUCAACGCUGGCGGCGUGCCUAACACAUGCAAGUCGAACGAGAAAGGGGAGCAAUCCCUGAGUAAAGUGGCGCACGGGUGAGUAACACGUGACUAACCUACCCUGGAGUGGGGGAUAACUGAGGGAAACCUUAGCUAAUACCGCAUAACACCUACGGGUCAAAGGAGCAAUUCGCUUCAGGAGGGGGUCGCGGCCGAUUAGUUAGUUGGCGGGGUAAUGGCCCACCAAGACGAUGAUCGGUAUCCGGCCUGAGAGGGCGCACGGACACACUGGAACUGAAACACGGUCCAGACUCCUACGGGAGGCAGCAGUGGGGAAUUUUGCGCAAUGGGGGAAACCCUGACGCAGCAACGCCGCGUGGAGGAUGAAGUACUUCGGUACGUAAACUCCUUUCGAUCGGGACGAUUAUGACGGUACCGGAAGAAGAAGCCCCGGCUAACUUCGUGCCAGCAGCCGCGGUAAUACGAGGGGGGCAAGCGUUGUUCGGAAUUAUUGGGCGUAAAGGGUGCGUAGGCGGUUUGGUAAGUCUCUUGUGAAAUUUAUGGGCUCAACUCAUAAACUGCAAGGGAAACUGCCGGGCUUGAGUAUGGGAGAGGUGAGUGGAAUUCCUGGUGUAGCGGUGAAAU